GGCCGGAUAGCACAGUCGCUUAGAGCGUGGUGCUAAUUACGCUAAGCUCGUGGGUUCGAGCCCCCUUCUGGCCA
rnacentral:tRNA from 1 species